rnacentral:rRNA from 1 species
UACGUAGGGUGCAAGCGUUGUCCGGAAUUAUUGGGCGUAAAGAGCUUGUAGGCGGUUUGUCGCGUCUGCUGUGAAAUUUCGGGGCUCAACCCCGAACUUGCAGUGGGUACGGGCAGACUAGAGUGUGGUAGGGGAGACUGGAAUUCCUGGUGUAGCGGUGAAAUGCGCAGAUAUCAGGAAGAACACCUAUGGCGAAGGCAGCACUCUGGGACGGUACUGACGCUGAGACGCGAAAGCGUGGGGAGCGAACAGG